rnacentral:lncRNA from 1 species
CACACAUUGGCAAGAAAGCUCUACUGGAAGCUUUAUAAUCAAUAAACCUGUUGUUUGUUGAAGGAUUACAUCUCUAAACUUGCAUGUUAAGCAGGGACUACUUCUUGGACUAUUUAUUAACUGGAAAGCUCAUUCCUCUUUUUCCCUCUGUGAUUAUGCCUUGGUACGUCUCCAGAGCUCGCCUGGCUUAUGUUCUUCAGGUUUUCUCAGAGGCAUCACACAAAUGUGUCCAAGUUGUCAGGAAUUCRGAGAUAAGGGUUUAUCAAAUGGACUGACCAGUGAUGGAGUGGGUGGCUCAGAGAUAUUUCAAACAGGCUACAAGAAUCCCCCAAUGAAGUCCUACCACAAAUUCAUUGUUGAUCAUGGAUUCGACCUUCAGCAUGCAGAGAGGAAAUACAGAGUUCAAAGCAAGGUGAGGAGGCUCAUGGCCAAAAAAUUCCAUCUGCAGAGAACAACUUAUGGCCUACCCUAGC